UAUCCCAUAGCGCAACGGAUAGCGCUUUGGAAUUUUAGUUCAAAGGUUGUGGGUUCAAAUCCUAACUGGGAUAC